GGUGAACGCUGGCGGUAGGCCUAACACAUGCAAGUCGAACGGCAGCACAGUAAGAGCUUGCUCUUACGGGUGGCGAGUGGCGGACGGGUGAGGAAUACAUCGGAAUCUACUUUUUCGUGGGGGAUAACGUAGGGAAACUUACGCUAAUACCGCAUACGACCUACGGGUGAAAGCAGGGGAUCUUCGGACCUUGCGCGAUUGAAUGAGCCGAUGUCGGAUUAGCUAGUUGGCGGGGUAAAGGCCCACCAAGGCGACGAUCCGUAGCUGGUCUGAGAGGAUGAUCAGCCACACUGGAGCUGAGACACGGUCCAGACUCCUACGGGAGGCAGCAGUGGGGAAUAUUGGACAAUGGGCGCAAGCCUGAUCCAGCCAUACCGCGUGGGUGAAGAAGGCCUUCGGGUUGUAAAGCCCUUUUGUUGGGAAAGAAAAGCAGCAGGUUAAUACCCCGCUGUUCGGACGGUACCCAAAGAAUAAGCACCGGCUAACUUCGU
rnacentral:rRNA from 1 species